CGGGGGGGAACUUGGGCUUUCCUGGAUGUUUAGCGGCGGACGGGUGAGUAACACGUGGGUAACCUGCCUGUAAGACUGGGAUAACUCCGGGAAACCGGGGCUAAUACCGGAUGGUUGUUUGAACCGCAUGGUUCAAACAUAAAAGGUGGCUUCGGCUACCACUUACAGAUGGACCCGCGGCGCAUUAGCUAGUUGGUGAGGUAACGGCUCACCAAGGCGACGAUGCGUAGCCGACCUGAGAGGGUGAUCGGCCACACUGGGACUGAGACACGGCCCAGACUCCUACGGGAGGCAGCAGUAGGGAAUCUUCCGCAAUGGACGAAAGUCUGACGGAGCAACGCCGCGUGAGUGAUGAAGGUUUUCGGAUCGUAAAGCUCUGUUGUUAGGGAAGAACAAGUACCGUUCGAAUAGGGCGGUACCUUGACGGUACCUAACCAGAAAGCCACGGCUAACUACGUGCCAGCAGCCGCGGUAAUACGUAGGUGGCAAGCGUUGUCCGGAAUUAUUGGGCGUAAAGGGCUCGCAGGCGGUUUCUUAAGUCUGAUGUGAAAGCCCCCGGCUCAACCGGGGAGGGUCAUUGGAAACUGGGGAACUUGAGUGCAGAAGAGGAGAGUGGAAUUCCACGUGUAGCGGUGAAAUGCGUAGAGAUGUGGAGGAACACCAGUGGCGAAGGCGACUCUCUGGUCUGUAACUGACGCUGAGGAGCGAAAGCGUGGGGAGCGAACAGGAUUAGAUACCCUGGUAGUCCACGCCGUAAACGAUGAGUGCUAAGUGUUAGGGGGUUUCCGCCCCUUAGUGCUGCAGCUAACGCAUUAAGCACUCCGCCUGGGGAGUACGGUCGCAAGACUGAAACUCAAAGGAAUUGACGGGGGCCCGCACAAGCGGUGGAGCAUGUGGUUUAAUUCGAAGCAACGCGAAGAACCUUACCAGGUCUUGACAUCCUCUGACAAUCCUAGAGAUAGGACGUCCCCUUCGGGGGCAGAGUGACAGGUGGUGCAUGGUUGUCGUCAGCUCGUGUCGUGAGAUGUUGGGUUAAGUCCCGCAACGAGCGCAACCCUUGAUCUUAGUUGCCAGCAUUCAGUUGGGCACUCUAAGGUGACUGCCGGUGACAAACCGGAGGAAGGUGGGGAUGACGUCAAAUCAUCAUGCCCCUUAUGACCUGGGCUACACACGUGCUACAAUGGACAGAACAAAGGGCAGCGAAACCGCGAGGUUAAGCCAAUCCCACAAAUCUGUUCUCAGUUCGGAUCGCAGUCUGCAACUCGACUGCGUGAAGCUGGAAUCGCUAGUAAUCGCGGAUCAGCAUGCCGGCGAGGCCUA
rnacentral:rRNA from 1 species